CUCUUUAACCUGGCCUUACUGGCCAGGCAAGCUUGGCAUCUCCUACAGGAACCUUCCUCUUUGAGCGCGAGAAUCCUAAAGGCUGUUUAUUAUCCUUCUUCCACAAUUCUUGAAGCAGAAGUUGUGGAUUCCACGCGACUUCAAGCUUCGGUCGGUUUGCCCCAAGUCUUUAAAUCCUCCUCACAAGGUUUCAGACCUUAUUGAUCCAAUCAAUAUGACAUGGGAUCGAGCUACUCUUGACCAACACCUUUACCCCAUGGACGUUGAAGCAAUCCUAAACAUACCAUUAAGCUCCAGAGUCCGUGAAGAUUUCUGGUCUUGGCAUUAUGAGAGAAGGGGUACCUUCACAGUACGGUCUGCAUACAGACUGCUGGCGUCCACAAAGCAACAACGGAUGGACUGGCUAGAGCAUAAUGAGGGCCACUCGCGUUUUGAGGCUGACCACCGGUCCUGGACAAAGCUUUGGGGAGCUGCAGUCCCCUCCAAGGUCAGAGUUUUUGCUUGGAGAUUGGCUAAAACCUCCAUCCCUACAGGAGAGAUCCGAAAGAACAGAAGCAUGGCCGAGACACCGGAUUGCACCCUAUGCAAGGCGGCGGUCGACACUUGGCGCCACUCUCUUUUUGACUGCAAGAUGGCUAGGUGCGUUUGGGCUCUAGCUGAUGAG
rnacentral:rRNA from 1 species